CAAUAGCGUAUAUUAAAGUUGUUGCAGUUAAAAAGCUCGUAGUUGGAUUUGUGGUGUACUUUGGCGGCCCGUCACUAUGUGAUGGAGCUUGCUGAAGUCGCCAUCCUUGGGUGGAUCCUGUGUGGCAUUAAGUUGUCGUGCAGGGGAUGCCCAUCGUUUACUGUGAGAAAAUUAGAGUGUUCAAAGCAGGCUUAUGCCGUUGAAUAUGUUAGCAUGGAAUAAUAAGAUAGGACCUUGGUACUAUUUUGUUGGUUUGCGCACCAAGGUAAUGAUUAAUAGGGACAGUUGGGGGUAUUCGUAUUUCAUUGUCAGAGGUGAAAUUCUUGGAUUUUUGAAAGACGAACUACUGCGAAAGCAUUUACCAAGGAUGUUUUCAUUAA
rnacentral:rRNA from 1 species